rnacentral:misc_RNA from 1 species
GAUGAAGAACGUAGCGAAAUGCGAUAAGUAAUGUGAAUUGCAGAAUUCAGUGAAUCAUCGAAUCUUUGAACGCACAUUGCGCCCGGCAGUACUCUGCCGGGCAUGCCUGUUCGAGCGUCAUUUCAACCCUCAAGCCCUGCUUGGUGUUGGGGCCCUACGGCUGCCGUAGGCCCCGAAAGGAAGUGGCGGGCUCGCUACAACUCCGAGCGUAGUAACUCAUUAUCUCGCUUAGGGCGUUGGGCGGCGCUCCAGCUGUUAAAGAACCAUCUUUAACUCAAGGUUGACCUCGGAUCAGGUAGGAAUACCCGCUGAACUUAAGCAUAUCAAUAAGCGGAGGA